AUACGGAGGGGGCAAGCGUUGUUCGGAAUUAUUGGGCGUAAAGGGCGCGUAGGCGGCUAGGCAAGUUGGAGGUGAAAGCCCUCGGCUCAACCGAGGAAUUGCCCCCAAAACUGCCUGGCUUGAGUCCCGGAGAGGGUAGUGGAAUUCCCAGUGUAGCGGUGAAAUGCGUAGAUACUGGUAGGAACACCAGUGGCGAAGGCGGAUACCUGGACGGGUUCUGACGCUGAGGCGCGAAAGCGUGGGGAGCAAACAGGAUUAGAUACCCCGGUAGUCC
rnacentral:rRNA from 1 species